AGUGAACGCUGGCGGUAGGCCUAACACAUGCAAGUCGAACGGCAGCACAGUAAGAGCUUGCUCUUACGGGUGGCGAGUGGCGGACGGGUGAGGAAUACAUCGGAAUCUACUUUUUCGUGGGGGAUAACGUAGGGAAACUUACGCUAAUACCGCAUACGACCUACGGGUGAAAGUAGGGGAUCUUCGGACCUUGCGCGAUUGAAUGAGCCGAUGUCGGAUUAGCUAGUUGGCGGGGUAAAGGCCCACCAAGGCGACGAUCCGUAGCUGGUCUGAGAGGAUGAUCAGCCACACUGGAACUGAGACACGGUCCAGACUCCUACGGGAGGCAGCAGUGGGGAAUAUUGGACAAUGGGCGCAAGCCUGAUCCAGCCAUACCGCGUGGGCGAAGAAGGCCUUCGGGUUGUAAAGCCCUUUUGUUGGGAAAGAAAAGCAGCAGGUUAAUACCCCGCUGUUCUGACGGUACCCAAAGAAUAAGCACCGGCUAACUUCGUG
rnacentral:rRNA from 1 species